UUGUCUCAAAGAUUAAGCCAUGCAUGUCUAAGUAUAAGCAAUUAUACAGCGAAACUGCGAAUGGCUCAUUAUAUAAGUUAUCGUUUAUUUGAUAGUACCUUACUACUUGGAUAACCGUGGUAAUUCUAGAGCUAAUACAUGCUAAAAAUCCCGACUUCGGAAGGGAUGUAUUUAUUAGAUUAAAAACCAAUGCCCUCUGGGCUCUCUGGUGAUUCAUGAUAACUUCUCGAAUCGCAUGGCCUUGCGCCGGCGAUGGUUCAUUCAAAUUUCUUCCCUAUCAACUUUCGAUGUUUGGGUAGUGGCCAAACAUGGUUGCAACGGGUAACGGAGGGUUAGGGCUCGACCCCGGAGAAGGAGCCUGAGAAACGGCUACUACAUCCAAGGAAGGCAGCAGGCGCGCAAAUUACCCAAUCCCGAUUCGGGGAGGUAGUGACAAUAAAUACUGAUACAGGGCUCUUUUGGGUCUUGUAAUUGGAAUGAGUACAAUUUAAAUCCCUUAACGAGGAACAAUUGGAGGGCAAGUCUGGUGCCAGCAGCCGCGGUAAUUCCAGCUCCAAUAGCGUAUAUUAAAGUUGUUGUGGUUAAAAAGCUCGUAGUUGAACCUUGGGCCUGGUUGGCCGGUCCGCCUCACCGCGUGUACUGGUCCGGCCGGGCCUUUCCCUCUGUGGAACCCCAUGCCCUUCACUGGGUGUGGCGGGGAAACAGGACUUUUACUUUGAAAAAAUUAGAGUGCUCCAGGCAGGCCUAUGCUCGAAUACAUUAGCAUGGAAUAAUAAAAUAGGACGUGCGGUUCUAUUUUGUUGGUUUCUAGGACCGCCGUAAUGAUUAAUAGGGACAGUCGGGGGCAUCAGUAUUCAAUUGUCAGAGGUGAAAUUCUUGGAUUUAUUGAAGACUAACUACUGCGAAAGCAUUUGCCAAGGAUGUUUUCAUUAAUCAGGAACGAAAGUUAGGGGAUCGAAGACGAUCAGAUACCGUCGUAGUCUUAACCAUAAACUAUGCCGACUAGGGAUCGGACGAUGUUAUUUUUUGACUCGUUCGGCACCUUACGAGAAAUCAAAGUGCUUGGGCUCCAGGGGGAGUAUGGUCGCAAGGCUGAAACUUAAAGG
rnacentral:rRNA from 2 species